AUUGAACGCUGGCGGCAUGCUUUACACAUGCAAGUCGAACGGUAACAGGCCGCAAGGUGCUGACGAGUGGCGAACGGGUGAGUAAUGCAUCGGAACGUGCCCAGUCGUGGGGGAUAACGCAGCGAAAGCUGUGCUAAUACCGCAUACGAUCUAUGGAUGAAAGCGGGGGACCGUAAGGCCUCGCGCGAUUGGAGCGGCCGAUGUCAGAUUAGGUAGUUGGUGGGGUAAAGGCCUUCCAAGCCGACGAUCUGUAGCUGGUCUGAGAGGACGACCAGCCACACUGGGAAUGAGACACGGCACAGACGCCUACGGGAGGCAGCAGUGGGGAAUUUUGGACAAUGGGCGCAAGCCUGAUCCAGCAAUGCCGCGUGCAGGAAGAAGGCCUUCGGGUUGUAAACUGCUUUUGUACGGAACGAAACGGUCCUGGUUAAUACCUGGGGCUAAUGACGGUACCGUAAGAAUAAGCACCGGCUAACUACGUGCCAGCAGCCGCCGUAACAC
rnacentral:rRNA from 1 species